AUCACCCAAUCAAUUGACCCCCCCCACAGUUUAAACCGAAAUGGCCCACUAAAAAAGUGUAUCUAUGAACAUUUUGAAAAACUGAAAGUUUUAGAGUAAAAAAGGAAUAUAAAAGAAUGCAUCCAGAUUAAUUGGAAUAUAAGAGAAAAUCCACGAAAACUCCUCUAAUUACCAAACCCUAUUAUCAUAAAAACUCGUUCAAAAAAAAGGGUUUUAAAUACCAAAUAAAACAAUAACAUUAUAACAUAAAACAAUAUAUUUAAUAUUAAUAAUAAUAAUUCGAUAAAUUUACAAAAAAACUCAACUCACCUGUGCCUAUCCAAUCCUCAGCCUUAUUUUCAAUAUCCCAGCUCCAUAUCCAGAUUCCUGCUUUGUGUCUUUCCAGUACAGCUGCUUCUGAAUGGAAAAAACAUAAAAUAUUAAAAUUGAACUGCAGUGCAAAGGGGUCUUAAUAAAUCUCGAAUUAAAUAAAUAAAAAAAUACAAAUAUUCCAAUAUGUAAAUUUAAAGAAAAAGUUGCCCUCACCUGUUCUGAUCCAGGUCCCCAGCCCGAUGACUUCCAGGUCCAGACUCCCGGUAUCGUAUCCAACAAAAUGGCUGCAACUUCCUCUAAAAAAAAUAAAUAAACACAUUAAAUCUCAUAAUUCAUCAACCCUCCUUUCUAUAGUUCAGUAAAAGUUAUAUACAAGGGUCUCUCUUGUUAGCAACAAUUUAUUGAAAACUUGAAUAAAAAAUAUUUUUAGGGAAAAAGCUCUUUCUUAAAAAGUCUUUUAACCAGAAAGACGUUUCAUAUGCCAAAUCCAUCAUCAGAGAUUGCUUGAAGUGAAUUUUGAACGUUAAGAUAAAAAAAAGUAAAACGAUUUUUGGAUUAUAAUCAAAGUAUCCAUAUAAACCUGGUUAAUGUAAAAUGUGCUUAAGACAAAGUGUCAAAAUUUCCUUAAUUUCCCACCGAUUUUCAUGAAAAUUGCAUUGAUACAAAGGGGUUUUAAUUUAGAACAAUAAAUGUAUCUAUAAAAAAAAAUAAAAAUUGAAAAUUUCCAAAGUUACAGGGGUAUUUUCAAAAAUAUGACAAAUUAUUGAAGGUGUGUAAGAGGCAAACUGGACCAGUUUCCUUAAUUUCCCACCGAUUUUCAUGAAAAUUGCAUUGAUGCAUAGGGUUUUUAAUUUAGAACAAUAAAUGUAUCUAUAAAAAAAAUUAAAAAUUGGAAAUUUCCAAAGUUACAGGGGUAUUUUCAAAAAUAUGACAAAUUACCGAAGGUGUGUAAGAGGCAAACUGGACCAGUUUUCUUAAUUUCCCACCGAUUUUCAUAAAAAUUGCAUUGAUGCAAAGGGUUUUUAAUUUAGAACAAUAAAUGUAUCUAUAAAAAAAAUUAAAAAUUGGAAAUUUCCAAAGUUACAGGGGUAUUUUCAAAAAUAUGACAAAUUACCGAAGGUGUGUAAGAGGCAAACUGGACCAGUUUUCUUAAUUUCCCACCGAUUUUCAUGAAAAUUGCAUUGAUGCAUAGGGUUUUUAAUUUAGAACAAUAAAUGUAUCUAUAAAAAAAAUUAAAAAUUGGAAAUUUCCAAAGUUACAGGGGUAUUUUCAAAAAUAUGACAAAUUACCGAAGGUGUGUAAGAGGCAAACUGGACCAGUUUCCUUAAUUUCCCACCGAUUUUCAUAAAAAUUGCAUUGAUGCAAAGGGUUUUUAAUUUAGAACAAUAAAUGUAUCUAUAAAAAAAAUAAAAAUUGAAAAUUUCCAAAGUUACAAGGGUAUUUUCAAAAAUAUGACAAAUUAUUGAAGGUGUGUAAGAGGCAAACUGGACCAGUUUCCUUAAUUUCCCACCGAUUUUCAUGAAAAUUGCAUUGAUGCAUAGGGUUUUUAAUUUAGAACAAUAAAUGUAUCUAUAAAAAAAAUUAAAAAUUGGAAAUUUCCAAAGUUACAGGGGUAUUUUCAAAAAUAUGACAAAUUACCGAAGGUGUGUAAGAGGCAAACUGGACCAGUUUUCUUAAUUUCCCACAGAUUUUCAUGAAAAUUGCAUUGAUGCAAAGGGUAUUUAAUUUAAAACAAUAAAUGUAUCUACAAAAAAAAUUAAAAAUUGGAAAUUUCCAGAGUUACAGGGGUAUUUUUAAAAAUAUGACAAAGUAUAAAGGGUGUCUAAGAGGAAAACUGAACCAGUUUUCUUAAUUUCCCACAGAUUUUCAUGAAAAUUGCAUUGAUGCAAAGGGUUUUUAAUUUAAAACAAUAAAUGUAUCUACAAAAAAAAUUAAAAAUUGGAAAUUUCCAGAGUUACAGGGGUAUUUUUAAAAAUAUGGCAAAGUAUAAAGGGGUCUAAGAGGAAAACUGGACCAGUUUCCUUAAUUUCCCACCGAUUUUCAUAAAAAUUGCAUUGAUGCAAAGGGUAUUUAAUUUAAAACAAUAAAUGUAUCUACAAAAAAAAUUAAAAAUUGGAAAUUUCCAGAGUUACAGGGGUAUUUUUAAAAAUAUGGCAAAGUAUAAAGGGGUCUAAGAGGAAAACUGGACCAGUUUCCUUAAUUUCCCACCCAUUUUCCUGAAAAUUGCAUUGAUGCAAAGGGUUUUUAAUUUAAAACAAUAAAUGUAUCUACAAAAAAAAUUAAAAAUUGGAAAUUUCCAGAGUUACAGGGGUAUUUUUAAAAAUAUGACAAAGUAUAAAGGGUGUCUAAGAGGAAAACUGAACCAGUUUUCUUAAUUUCCCACAGAUUUUCAUGAAAAUUGCAUUGAUGCAAAGGGUUUUUAAUUUAAAACAAUAAAUGUAUCUACAAAAAAAAUUAAAAAUUGGAAAUUUCCAGAGUUACAGGGGUAUUUUUAAAAAUAUGGCAAAGUAUAAAGGGGUCUAAGAGGAAAACUGGACCAGUUUCCUUAAUUUCCCACCGAUUUUCAUAAAAAUUGCAUUGAUGCAAAGGGUAUUUAAUUUAAAACAAUAAAUGUAUCUACAAAAAAAAUUAAAAAUUGGAAAUUUCCAGAGUUACAGGGGUAUUUUUAAAAAUAUGGCAAAGUAUAAAGGGGUCUAAGAGGAAAACUGGACCAGUUUCCUUAAUUUCCCACCCAUUUUCCUGAAAAUUGCAUUGAUGCAAAGGGUUUUUAAUUUAAAACAAUAAAUGUAUCUACAAAAAAAAUUAAAAAUUGGAAAUUUCCAGAGUUACAGGGGUAUUUUUAAAAAUAUGGCAAAGUAUAAAGGGGUCUAAGAGGAAAACUGGACCAGUUUCCUUAAUUUCCCACCCAUUUUCCUGAAAAUUGCAUUGAUGCAAAGGGUUUUUAAUUUAAAACAAUAAAUGUAUCUACAAAAAAAAUUAAAAAUUGGAAAUUUCCAGAGUUACAGGGGUAUUUUUAAAAAUAUGACAAAGUAUAAAGGGGUCUAAGAGGAAAACUGGACCAGUUUCCUUAAUUUCCCACCGAUUUUCAUGAAAAUUGCAUUGAUGCAAAGGGUAUUUAAUUUAAAACAAUAAAUGUAUCUACAAAAAAAAUUAAAAAUUGGAAAUUUCCAGAGUUACAGGGGUAUUUUUAAAAAUAUGGCAAAGUAUAAAGGGGUCUAAGAGGAAAACUGGACCAGUUUCCUUAAUUUCCCACCCAUUUUCCUGAAAAUUGCAUUGAUGCAAAGGGUUUUUAAUUUAAAACAAUAAAUGUAUCUACAAAAAAAAUUAAAAAUUGGAAAUUUCCAGAGUUACAGGGGUAUUUUUAAAAAUAUGACAAAGUAUAAAGGGUGUCUAAGAGGAAAACUGAACCAGUUUUCUUAAUUUCCCACAGAUUUUCAUGAAAAUUGCAUUGAUGCAAAGGGUUUUUAAUUUAAAACAAUAAAUGUAUCUACAAAAAAAAUUAAAAAUUGGAAAUUUCCAGAGUUACAGGGGUAUUUUUAAAAAUAUGGCAAAGUAUAAAGGGGUCUAAGAGGAAAACUGGACCAGUUUCCUUAAUUUCCCACCGAUUUUCAUAAAAAUUGCAUUGAUGCAAAGGGUAUUUAAUUUAAAACAAUAAAUGUAUCUACAAAAAAAAUUAAAAAUUGGAAAUUUCCAGAGUUACAGGGGUAUUUUUAAAAAUAUGGCAAAGUAUAAAGGGGUCUAAGAGGAAAACUGGACCAGUUUCCUUAAUUUCCCACCCAUUUUCCUGAAAAUUGCAUUGAUGCAAAGGGUUUUUAAUUUAAAACAAUAAAUGUAUCUACAAAAAAAAUUAAAAAUUGGAAAUUUCCAGAGUUACAGGGGUAUUUUUAAAAAUAUGGCAAAGUAUAAAGGGGUCUAAGAGGAAAACUGGACCAGUUUCCUUAAUUUCCCACCGAUUUUCAUGAAAAUUGCAUUGAUGCAAAGGGUAUUUAAUUUAGAACAAUAAAUGUAUCUACAAAAAAAAUUAAAAAUUGGAAAUUUCCAGAGUUACAGGGGUAUUUUUAAAAAUAUGACAAAGUAUAAAGGGGGUCUAAGAGGAAAACUGGACCAGUUUCCUUAAUUUCCCACCGAUUUUCAUGAAAAUUGCAUUGAUGCAAAGGGUAUUUAAUUUAAAACAAUAAAUGUAUCUACAAAAAAAAUUAAAAAUUGGAAAUUUCCAGAGUUACAGGGGUAUUUUUAAAAAUAUGACAAAGUAUAAAGGGUGUCUAAGAGGAAAACUGAACCAGUUUCCUUAAUUUCCCACCGAUUUUCAUGAAAAUUGCAUUGAUGCAAAGGGUAUUUAAUUUAGAACAAUAAAUGUAUCUACAAAAAAAAUUAAAAAUUGGAAAUUUCCAGAGUUACAGGGGUAUUUUUAAAAAUAUGGCAAAGUAUAAAGGGGUCUAAGAGGAAAACUGGACCAGUUUC